UACGUAGGGUGCGAGCGUUAAUCGGAAUUACUGGGCGUAAAGCGUGCGCAGGCGGCUUUGCAAGACAGAUGUGAAAUCCCCGGGCUCAACCUGGGAACUGCAUUUGUGACUGCAUGGCUGGAGUGCGGCAGAGGGGGAUGGAAUUCCGCGUGUAGCAGUGAAAUGCGUAGAUAUGCGGAGGAACACCGAUGGCGGAGGCAAUCCCCUGGGCCUGCUCUGACGCUCAUGCACGAAAGCGUGGGGAGCAAACAGG
rnacentral:rRNA from 1 species